AUACGGAGGGUGCGAGCGUUAAUCGGAAUUACUGGGCGUAAAGCGUGCGUAGGCGGUUUGCUAAGUCAGAUGUGAAAGCCCCGGGCUUAACCUGGGAACUGCAUUUGAUACUGGCAGACUAGAGUAUGAUAGAGGGGGGUAGAAUUCCUGGUGUAGCGGUGAAAUGCGUAGAUAUCAGGAGGAAUACCAGUGGCGAAGGCGGCCCCCUGGAUCAAUACUGACGCUCAGGUACGAAAGCGUGGGGAGCGAACAGGAUUAGAUACCCUAGUAGUCC
rnacentral:rRNA from 1 species